UAGUUGGUACUUAGGUUUAUCUAGUUUGUAUUUUUCCCUGGAGGGAAAAUAAUUUGGUCCUAGAGCAUAUUGGGUGGGGUGCUUGACGAAAUGUGAGUUAAAGAAUACAUCCUUUGGCAGAAGGGACACAUCUUACUAUUGAAAAUGUAAACUGAGUACUUAUGGGAUGGAAGAUGAGGGUUACUGGGGAGAAGAUUGAUUGGCACUCUUGGUAGUUGAUUCGCCCAUUGACUUUUUGCUUCUGUUUCUUGAUGUGCCUUUCUAGAAGCCAUUUGUUGCUGUUGGAUUACGAUUUCAGUGCUCCUACACUGCCUUCCUGGACAGUUAUUCCAUAGGUGGCAUUCACAUCAUCCAGACUCCUCCAUUGUCUUGCUUGUUUUUCGCCAUUAUACUUAGGGAAUGUUCUGGAAAUGCAACAUCCUGAGGUUAGGAGGGAGAUGCAUAGAACAUUCUAGGCUCAGUUCUAGCUUUUCAUAGAACAAGGUUUUCACCACAUUCUCACAGUCAGUAAUAUGACCAUGGAGACAUAAAUUCCAAUGCACUUUGCUUUUGGGGAACUUCUCAUCUGGUAUAAGUGGAACAGUCAAGGCCUCAUCUACUCCAGGAAGUUUUCUGGGCUAAGACUUAGAGCAAAUUCUUGACUUCUGUUGUGUCUUGCUGCCUAUCUGAAAGUAAUAAAACUGCUUCAUGUAAAUUCAUCUACAUGUGGGUAUUCUGUUUCAUCAGAUAGAUGAGUUGAUAAUCAGUACACAAUGAAAUGGCUUCAUACUUCCUGCUAUCUGAAGUCCUUAAGCAUGAGAAGGAAUGAUUGAUGGCGUGUGAGUGAGUGGUGCCUGUCAAAUCCACAAACAAGACUGCUGCAAUUCAUUGUUAGCUCGGCCAAGUUAACAAUGGUUGCACAGCGCAGGACCAAUUGGGCUUUAAACUAAAUCCCUAUUUCUGUGCAAACGGCUGAUUUGUUGACUCCUUCUAGAGUAAGGCUGGCUACAUGGAACCGUGAGAAGCUGAACUGUGGAGACAAGAACAGUAUUUUUUCCCCAAUGGUCAAGUUCUGUGGUGGCCUUCUGGAACAGAUUGAAUUACUUCCACAUCUUCUGAUGUAUUUUUUUCCCUUUGCUCUCUAAAACUAGAAGUAACAUUUAAAAAUCAUGUCCAUUUCAAAGUUAAAAUAUCUUCAUUUUCUUCAUUUUAAAGGUUCUUUUUUUUUUCUGAUUCUGUGCUUCAGUGAACACGUUUAUUUCCAAGCACCAAGAGCAACAGGAGCUCCUUCAGACUGUAUCAGCUUACAAGCCAGUGUGCAAAGACAGGAUGAAAAACCACAGGCUUAUGGGAUGCUUCCUGAUCCAUGGGACUUGUACUAUCCAAGAUACCAUCAGAAUGUUUUUCCAUAGUGUUUUCAGGUAAACAUGUAAAGGCUAGGACAAGAAGACAGCACUGCACCAAACCCAUGUGAAGGAAAGUGUUUGGAGGCAUAUCUUACUGUAGCCCCACUGCGUUUCAGAGACCCGCGGCAUCUCUUUAGCAUUCACGGCUUCCAAAGCAGACUGAAGACCCUGCUCAUUCCUUCACUGAUAUUACAAACACCUUCUUCAGAUUUCUGAAAUGACCAGAGGCUCCCUAGGGCUCCUCCAGGCCUUCACAACCAGAUUGGGACUUGGAGACUGAACCAACAUUGGGUUCAUGACUCUUGGGUUAUCUGGCAUGAUACACAUUUUCUUCUAUAACUCUGAAUGUAUGUAAAUGAGUGUAAUAAAUACUCUUUUAAUAUGUGUCUUUGUUAGGGUUUUAUUUCUAUGAAGAGAGACCAUGACCACAGCAACUCUUAUAUAAAGGAAACCAUCUAAUUGGGGCUGGCUUACAGGUUUCAGAGGUUUAGUCCAUUAUUCCCAUGUUGGGAAGCACAGCAGCAUGCAGGCAGACAUGCUGGAGAAGAGGGCAAGAGUUGUACAUCUGGAUCAGCAGGC
rnacentral:lncRNA from 1 species